rnacentral:rRNA from 1 species
GACGAACGCUGGCGGCGUGCUUAACACAUGCAAGUCGAACGGUGAAAGCGGAGCUUGCUCCGCUGGAUCAGUGGCGAACGGGUGAGUAGCACGUGGGCAACCUGCCCCUCACUUCGGGAUAACUCCGGGAAACCGGGGCUAAUACCGGAUAUGACCUCCUUGGGCAUCCUUGGAGGUGGAAAGUUUUUCGGUGAGGGAUGGGCCCGCGGCCUAUCAGCUUGUUGGUGAGGUAGUGGCUCACCAAGGCGACGACGGGUAGCCGGCCUGAGAGGGCGACCGGCCACACUGGGACUGAGACACGGCCCAGACUCCUACGGGAGGCAGCAGUAGGGAAUAUUGCACAAUGGGCGCAAGCCUGAUGCAGCAACGCCGCGUGAGGGAUGACGGCCUUCGGGUUGUAAACCUCUUUUAGUAGGGAAGAAGCGAAAGUGACGGUACCUGCAGAAAAAGCACCGGCUAACUACGUGCCAGCCGCCGCCGUAA